rnacentral:rRNA from 1 species
CGUGAGUGAUGAAGGCCUUUGGGUUGUAAAGCACUUUUAGCAGGGAAGAAGACCUAACGGUUAAUACCCGUUAGCCAUGACAUUACCUGCACAAUAAGCACCGGC